UGUAUUGUUUAAUUUUUCUUAGUUUUUUAACUAAAAUAGUUUGGCAGUGAGCGAUUCUUAUUAGGGGAAGGUGUGUUGUAAAGGAUGAUCCGCCUAUUAAUUUACUUUUAUUAUGUUGGUGUAUAUCUGGUUUAAUAUUAUUGUUUAAUAACURAAUUUGUGUAUAUUUAUUUAAGCCAAGUCUAUGUGCUGCUUGUAAAAGAUUUCAUGCGUUACAUUUAUAUUUAURUUAUGAGAAUUUAAUUUUUAAUUAGGACUUAAAAGUAAUAUAGAAUGAUUUUGUCUAUG
rnacentral:rRNA from 1 species